rnacentral:rRNA from 1 species
UACUAGAGUAGCACUCGCAUAUCAAUAAGCGGAGGAAAAGAAACUAACAAGGAUUCCCCUAGUAACGGCGAGUGAAGCGGGAAGAGCUCAAAUUUGAAGAUCUUAAAGGGUUUCCCUUUACGAAUUGUAGUUUAAAGAAGUGUUUUUCUGUUGAGGUUUUGGUAAAAGUUCUUUGGAAUAGGACAUCAUAGAGGGUGAGAAUCCCGUAUUUGACCUUUACUUUCAACUUUGUGAUACACUUUCAAAGAGUCGGAUUGUUUGGGAAUGCAGUCCAAAAUGGGUGGUAAAUUUCAUCUAAAGCUAAAUAUUGGCGAGAGACCGAUAGCGAACAAGUACCGUGAGGGAAAGAUGAAAAGAACUUUGAAAAGAGAGUUAAACAGUACGUGAAAUUGUCAAAAGGGAAGCGUUUGACACCAGUGUUGUUUUUCUGAAAAUCAAUUAAAGAACUGUUUAUGCUAAGCUUGUUUAGACUUUAUCAGCUAAUCUGUUUAGUUUUGAGCUUUUCUUUAAUGCACUUUUCAGUUAACAAGUCAACAUCAAUUUCUUUUGCUGUAAAAAAGCUUGAGGAAGGUGGCUUGAGAUUCGUCUUAAGUGUUUAUAGCCUCUUGCCUAUGCAGUCGGAGAGAUUGAGGUCUGCAGCGUAGAUCCUUCGGGGCUAAAUGCAUUUGUGCUAAGUUAUAGCAUUUUAUAGACAACUUGUUGACUAUGAUUUGUCUUGUAGCUUACUCGCUUAUGUUAUUUUACCUACGCUUAGGGAUGUUGAUCUCUCACAGUCGAGC